rnacentral:rRNA from 1 species
UCAGAACUCAAAGGAAUUGACGGGGCCCGCACAAGCGGUGGAGCAUGUGGUUUAAUUCGAUGAUACGCGAGGAACCUUACCUGGGCUCAAAUGUAUGUUGACGUAUUCUGAAAGGGAUACUUCUUCGGACAAUAUACAAGGUGCUGCAUGGUUGUCGUCAGCUCGUGCCGUGAGGUGUCGGGUUAAGUCCCAUAACGAGCGCAACCCCUAUCAUUAGUUGCCAUCAGGUCAAGCUGGGGACUCUAAUGAAACUGCCUACGCAAGUAGUGAGGAAGGUGGGGAUGACGUCAAAUCAGCACGGCCCUUACGUCCAGGGCUACACACGUGCUACAAUGGCCGGUACAAAGGGCAGCUACCUGGUGACAGGAUGCUAAUCUCAAAAGCCGGUCUCAGUUCGGAUCGGAGUCUGCAACUCGACUGCGUGAAGUCGGAAUCGCUAGUAAUCGUGAAUCAGAAUGUCACGGUGAAUACGUUCCCGGGCCUU